rnacentral:rRNA from 1 species
AUAUCAGUAAGCGGAGGAAAAGAAACUAACAAGGAUUCCCCCAGUAACGGCGAGUGAAGCGGGAACAGCCCAUGACGAACCCUUUACUAAAAGGGCGUGUGUCGUGGAGCUGGGCUCGGGCGAGCUGCGACCGCCGCAGGUCCCCUGGAAAGGGGCGGCACAGAGGGUGAGACCCCCGUGGCGGCGGGCGCGGCGCGCGGCGAGCGCAGCAGCGAGUCGGAUUGUUUGGGAAUGCAAUCCCAAGCAGGUGGUACGCGCCAUCUAAGGCUAAACAGCGGCAAGAGACCGAUAGCAAACAAGUACCGUGAGGGAAAGAUGAAAAGGACUCUGAAGAGAGAGUCAAAAGUGCGUGAAAUUGCGUCGAGGGAAACGAAGGCGUGCGCGACGGAGUGGGCGAGCUCGGCGAAGCGAGAAGGAGCGCGGGAGGUGCCAUGUGGCGACACACGGACGUACAGCCGCGCGCGCUAGCAUCGCAGGGCACCGGCCACGGCGCGCGUCUUUGACCCGUCUUGAAACACGG